AUGGGGAGACGGCCCUGACCCAGUGUGGGCCAUCCCUGCUGUUGGCUUGGUGGUUGAUCGGCCCUUGAUUUAAGCCCAGUUGAGUUGUCUCACAGGUCUUUGCUUUGAUUCGUUGUAGCCUUUGCGCCUUCUACCAGUGUGACCUGUCUGGACUUUGCUUCUCAUUCUGCAGAUGGGCAUUAGCAUGUGUUGUGUCCCUUUAUUGGUCUUUCUAAUUUGAAAAAAGAUGAGGCAGUCAUUAAAAAUGAUAGGUGCUUUUAGGAUAACAUAGCAUGUAGGACCAGCCCUCCCCCCUUUUUUAAGACAGGGUCUUGCUCUGUCGCCUAGACUGGAGUGCAGUGGUGCGAUCUUGACUCACUGUAGCCUGUACCUCUGGGGUGAAGCGAGUCUCCUACCUCAGCCUCCUGAGUAGCUGGGACCACAGGUGUGCCACCACACCCAAUUAAUUUUGGUAUUUUUUUGUAGAGGUGGGGUUUUACCAUGUUGGCCAGGCUGUUCUUGAACUCCUGAGCUCAUGUGAUCCACAUGCCUCUGCCUCCCAAAGUUAUGGGAUUAUAGGCGUGAGAUACCAUGCCCAGCCUCAUUUUUGUUUAUUCUUAAAACUGGCAUUUACCACCUGGCCCAUUAGCUUUUGCUUUAGAAGUGAAGAUCUUAUAUUAAUUGGAAUGUUAAUUCAUAUUCUGAAUUAUUGAAAGAACUGCUCUGUACAAAUUUUACUCUCACAGUAGGAUCUUUUAUGCUAAUAUCACUUCCAUAUUUUAACACAUGACCAUACAAGACCUCAUUACACUAAUAUAUGGUUAGUAUCUCAUUGAGUAAUAGAGGCUGAUAAUGGCACAUUGCAAAGUAUUGACCAUGUCAUUUUUUAUUACAGUUUUGUAAGAUUCUUUUGGAUACAGAAUGAACAUAGUAAAAGAAAGUUGCUACAUUAUUUAAGAUUGUCUGUUACUUGAACAUGCCGCUAUUUUAGACGUCUCUUUCCUUUUAUUUUGAAUCAUUGAGCUCUUGUUCUAUUUGUUGCUUUUUCAAGAUGAUGAAAGAUUAGUAUUUCCCUAGUAGCAUUCCCAAGCCAACUUGCCCACGAAUCAGAGACAAAGUCACAAGAAGGGCCAACUCUCUCCUGCUGAGAAGGAAUAAAAAUUUUAACACUCUUGUAAGUACAUGAAAAACUUCUUACUCAGCUGUGGAAGUUGAGCUAAGAGUAACAAAGGAAAAAAA